UGAUCCUUCUCACCAUGGAAUGGCUCAGGAGCACCCCAACAGUUCUGCAUAGGCGGGACCCUGCCAUCCAACCCACACGUCACUGUGUUUAUCAGUAUUGCCUUCAGCUGUGGGAGAAGACGGGGUGUGGAGUGGGGUUUUGGACUUUGCUUCCAUACUCCUUAUCUAGCUGCCGCAGAGCAGGGCAUGUGGCAUUGCAGUAACGGUUCUGCUUUCUUUUUAUGCAAAAACACAGAAAGAGUAGCUGUGUAUCCUGGAGGCACAAAGCAGGGAGUUCAGAUCCAAGCCUGUCUGGAUAUAACAUGGCUCUCAGGAAGGCUGAGAUGUGCAGCAGCAGUGGCUGGGUAGCCCGCCACAUCCUCUUACUCAUCACCACAGGACUCUCCCUCAUUGAAAUGCACCCCGGUGUUCACGCCCAGGAGUGUCGUCAGACCUCAGCUGAGAAAUGUCCGUCAUAUACCUGCUCCGCACCUGCAGAAUCCAAAGUGAGCCUCCCAUUAUCAUUGCCCAGAGAAAUGGUUGUUGUGUGCAGGCAGACCAGGGCUCCUGACUGUGUGGAUAUUCUGCAAUUCAGAUCAGGCUCCCCAAGCUACUACAACAGCACUUUUCAAGGUUAUGUGUCUUUGUCAAGCAACGAGUUCACUGCUACUCUGCACCGAUGGCUGGAGGGAAGAUACCUGAUCCAAACUUCUAUGGAUAAAAGAUGCAUCGCAAAUGUUGAUCUGGCUACAAGAAGUCCUUCACAUGCUGGUGGGGAACAAGCUCCUGGGAGCCCGCAGGGGAACAAGUCUGCGACACAGACCUGGAGCCUUUCUAUGGGGAAUCUUGUGGCAAUAUGUCUACUUUUGGUCCUGGGGCUUAAAUUUUAAGAAGCUGCUCCUUGGAAGAAAUCUACAUUACAAAAUCUGCUGGCACCCCCUAACAGAAGGCCACCAUAAAAACCAAGGCAGCCUUCGUAUAUAGUGGAAAUUUAUCUCCAAAAUGCUAGUAUUGAUUUUGUUGCAAUUGUUCCAGCAACUGUCAGCAUACCUCUGUCCUCGUGAACCACCUCAGCACAAAGCUUGCGCCAACUGUUAAUAGUGGCAUUGUUAAAGUGGCAAAUGCUUCAGGUAUAUAUUUUAUAUACAGUUGUGUAAAUCGGGGGGCGUGACUAGGAUGGCAGCCAUGGAUGCUACAUUCGUAGGAAGGCAUAAAGGUAACCACCAUUGCAGAAGCUGUCCUGCUAUGCUGCGGGCUAUAUACACCACUAGCAGUAUUUGUCUAUGUUUGUACCUUAGGACAGGCUUCAAGUUUUAUUUUGCUCACCUCCAUUUUCAGAUAGAUCUGUUCUAGGUAUUGAGUCUCAGGGCUUCUGGGUUUUGAGACACACUGCACUUCAGGGAAGAUUUGGAUGUCACUCUGGGUCAAAUCCAAAAUAACUGUUGACACUAAUGAAGCUUCCCCUGAUUCAGCAGUAUAGCAGUAGAGUUCAGGAUCCUGACCAGCUAUAAUUUAUUCUGCUCCUUGCACUUUAGGGUUUUUUUGAGGGUUUUGUUUUUUUUAAGUGAUGGAAACCCAAAAAUCUCACCUUAUGUUCACUCAUCCACAAUCUUUUAAGCUGGCUGCACAAGUAAGAUUGGUGUCAGCUCCCCAAUAGAAGCUGAUAUUUUCCCACCCAAGCUCUUGUCAUGUAAUUUCCCUAUAACCACAUGAAAUUUUAGGCACUCCAUCUUGUCUCAGGCAAAAUGUUCUGUGGAAAACAUACUACAAACCAGACAGAUUUUAGAGUAGGGAUGGGCAAUUAUUUGGGCUGGAGGGCCACUUAAGUUUUGGUGAAUUGUUGAGGUCUGUGCGCACAAACAUACGCGCACACGCACAUGCAGACACACGUGCAUAUACAUGCAGACACACGUGCUCCCUGCAGCUGGUCUGGGGCUGGCACCAGAGCAAGAACAUAAGCAUUCAGGGCCUGCCAUGCGGUGCUGUCACCUGUGCCUCCUGCCCAUGGGCUCGAUAAAAUCAAUUGGCAGGCCAGAUCUGGCCCACGGGCCAUAUUUUGUCCACCUCUGUUUUAGUGUGUGGCAAAGGUUUAAACAUGCACUUGUAAAAUCACACAAAAAAUGAGGGUUGGAAGAGCUGUUUAGGACUGUUUAUUUUUCAUAAGCUUUUCUGGUGUGAAUUUGUCUCAACAUGAACCCUAGGUUUGCUUGUUGGGUUUUGUGUUUGGCUUUUUUACUACUAUUUAAUGUCUACUGAUUUUAACAUGCUUUUAACAUUAUAACAAAAGCUUUAAGACUGUUAAUUCCAUAAGGCCUAUUAUAAACACCAUGUUGAAGAAAACAGGCCAAGCAGUUAGAUAAAUGUCUAUACUUAGCUGAGACUCUCCCCCAUGCAUUGGCAUCACCAUUCCUGUCUCAGUCCACUAUAAGGUUUGUAAAAAGAGAUGAUCAUUCAAGGCCAAACAACAAUCUGUUGUUAAUAAGGAUACUUCCUCUAAGGUCAAUGAAGCCCCACUGAGGUAGAUCAGAGAAGGACCUAGCCCAUAGUUUAUUAGGUUCAUAGUUUGUUAGACUCAUAGGGUUGGAAGGGAUCUCCAGGAUCAUCUAGUCCAAGUUCCUGCACAGAUUCAGGAUGUGCUCUUCCUAAACAGUCCCUGGCAUAUGCUUCUCUUCCACAUUGGAGAAAACCUCUAGGACUGCAGACAAAGGACUCCCAGAGGGGCACCGAAGAAGGAAAAGGACACAAGACUCCCAGGAAGGUGGAAGCUGGAAGCUUUUGACCUCUGGCAGCCAGCAGAAGUCUUUAUUCCCCACCUGCAGUGGUUUGGCUGGAAAACAGAUUGGGAGUGCUAGCAACAGAGGAGAAGGAGCGUGUUCCAUCAAUGGAAGAGGCCAGGACAGGCUUCCCCAACAUUGGGAAGAUCAAGACCGCUGUCACCAAAAGGAAGCAAUGUGUGAUGGUGGUUGGCAGCUCCCUUCUGUGGGCAAAAGAAGCAUCCAUCUGCUGAUAUAACCUGUUGUCUUGGGUGGUCUGCUGCCCAGAACCUGGAUCCAAGAUGUCAUCGAGGGAUUACCAAGACUCAUCCAGCUCUGACCACUACCCCACACUGCUCCUGCUUAGGGGCACCAAUGAUACUGCCAGAGGGGACCCUGAGCAGAUCAAAAGUGACACUGGGUGCAAGGGUGAAGUGGACAGGGGCUCAGGUGCUAUUCUCCUCUAUCCUUCCAGGCAAGGGGAAGGGCCCAGGCAGGAGCAGAUGCAUCCUGAAGCUCAAUGCAUAGCUGUGCAGAUGGUGUCACCAGCAGGGCUCUGGCUUCUUCAACCAGGGGACGUUGUUCCAAGAAGGAUUGGUAGGAAGAGAUAGGAUCCACCUUACAAAGAAAGGGAAGAGCAUUUUUGAAGACAGACUCACUAACCUAGUGAGGAAUGCUUCAAAGUAGGUUCUCUGGGGAAUGGAAACCAAAGCCCAGAGGUAAGUGAGGAAGCUGGUGACCUGAAGAAAGCAUGAGCCGGAGGGGGCAACAAGGGAGGCCUUCUCAUUCUUCCUGAGAAAGCAGGGCAAUCGGCUGGUUACCUCACAUGUUCGUACAUGAAUGAAUGGAGCCUGGGAAACAAGCAGGGAUAAUUGGAAACCCUCAUACAGUCAUGGAGCCAUAAAGUGAUUGGAAUAACAAAGACUGGGAUAGCUCACAUGACUGGAGUACUGUCAUGGAGGGGUAUAAACUGUUCAGGAAAGAUAGGCAAGGGAGAAGAAGAGGAGGAGUUUUUCUUUAUGUAAAAGCUGUAUGGCUGCUCAGAGCUACAGUAUGAUACUGGAGACAGGCAUGUUGAAAGUCAGCCUAACCUCCAUCCCUGGAAAAAUCAUGGAGCAGGUCCUCAAGAAAUCUAUUUCUAAGCACUAGUAGAAAGGGGUGAUUAGGAACAGUCAGCAUGGAUUCGCCAGAGGCAAGUCAUGACUGACCAACCUGAUUGCCCUCAGUAACAAGAUGACUAGUUCUGUGGAUGUGGGAAGAGCGGUGAACAGGUAAGAGUGGUGGACGUGGUAUACAUUGACUUUAGCAAGGCAUUUGAUAUGGUCUCUUUUAACAUUCUUGCAAGCAAGCUAAGGAAGUACAGGUUGAAUGAAUGGCCUGUAAAGUGGAUAGAAAAUUGGCUGGAUUAUCAGGCUCAAAGGGCUCAAUCAAUGAUUCAGUGUCUAGUUAGCAGUUGGCAUCAAGUGGAGUGCCCCAGGGUUUGGUCCUUGGGCCGGUUGUAUUCAAUAUCUUAAUCCACAAUCUGAAAGAUGGGAUGCAGUGCACCCUUAGCAAGUUUGCAGAUGACACCAAGAUGACACCUUUUGGCCCAAAUUGGAGGAUUGGACCAAAAGAAAUAUCACGAGGUUCAGCAAGAGAAAGUGCAAAGUCUUGCACUUUGGGGGGAACAACCUGUGCACUGGUACAAACUAAGGAUUUACUGGCUAAGCAACAGCUCUGCAGAAACCGCAGGGGGUUACAGUGGACAACGAAAUGAAUAUGAACCAACAGCAUGCCAUUGUUUUGAUGAAGGCUCACAGCAUACUGGGCUGCAUUAGUAGGAGCGUUGGCAGCAGAUAGAGGGAAGUGUUUCUUCUGCUCUGCUUGGCACUGAUGAGGCCACAUCUGGAGUAUUGUGUCCAGUUUUGGGCCCUCCCAUAAAUGUUGCAUGCCUCCAGAGGCUAAGAGGGCAUGGCGACCACCCACAGGCGGCGGUGGGGGCAGGCUGAGCUGGGAGCUCCUGCAGGCAGCCACAGCAGUGGCGGUGGUGAGGGGAUGGGGGAGUGGCAAGUGCCAAGUGGCAACCACCUGCAGACACCACCAGCAGCAUUGGUGGCAGCCAGCGGUGAUCAGCGACUGCCCGUAGAUGCUGCUGGCACCAUUGGAAGCGAGGCUGGGUGGUGGCGAGCAGCGACCACCUACAGGCAACACUGGCGGCAGCUAAUCUCAGGGGGUGCACCACCAAUCUCAGGGCGUGCAAGUGCACCCGCAUGCACCCCCUAUGUGUCGCCAAUGGGUCCUCCACUACAGGAAGGAUGUGGACAAAUUGGAGAGAGUCUACCAGAGUGCAAUGAAAAUUGUUAGGGGUCUGGGACACGUGACUUUUGAAGAGAGGCUGAGAGAACUGGGCAUAUUCAGUCUGCAAAAGAGAAGACUGAGAGGGGAUUUAAUAGCAGCCUUCAACUACCUGGAGGAGAUGGACUGUCCUCAGUGGUGGCAGAUGGCAAAACAAGGAACAACAGUCUCAAGUUGCAGUAAGGGAAGUUUAGGUUAAACAUUAGGAAAACUUUCUCACUAGGAAGGUGAGGCUAGAACAAGCUACCCAGAGAGGUGGUGGAAUCUCCAUCUUUGUUGGUUGUUAAGACCCAGGUAGACAAAGUCUUGACUGGGAUGAUCUAUUUAGGGCUGGUCCUGUUUUGAGCAGAGGAUCGAACUAGAUGACCUCCUGAGAUCCUCUCCAAACUUUAUUUUCUAUGGUUCUCCAGAAUUGCCUUUGAAAUCUCCAGUGAAGGAGAUGCCACAAUUUCCCUGGGUAACAUGUCCCAUUGUCCUAUGGUUCUCCCAAUUAUGGCAUUUUUUCCUGAAAUUUAAUAUGAAUCUAUUUUGCUAAAAAACCCAUUGCUACAUAUUCUGCCCAAAAGUAAUAGGCUUAUAUAACAUUUCCCAGCAACUGAAGUUUGCAGUUUAAAAAAUAACACAGGAAAGUUUUGCAUUCGAGAGCCAAGUUGGCUCAAAAUGCAUUAAUGCUGUUGUGAGUGACGUUCUGGAAUAUCCUGCUUCUCUGUUGUAAUGAAGCUAAGUGUGUGUGUGCACACGUGCCUGUGCAUGUGCCCAUACCUGUAUGUGUGUGUGCACAUGCUUGGUUUUAUUACAACAGAAAAGCAGUAUACGGGGAUGUGCGUGUGUGUGCAUGUGCAUGAAUCAUAUGUAUUAUACACAUACAUACACACACACACACGCGCACCAAUGUUUUUGUAGUAUAUGUGUAUUUACGUAUACAUCUAUAUUUAAAAUGAAGUGGUUCCGUCUUGGAUGGCAUUGAAUUAAAACAGAGUUGCAAGGCUUGGGGAACCAAUAUGGACUCUGUCUGCUGGGAUUUUAGUUAAGUAGCCUGCAUUCCUAUGUGAGGUAUUUAGUAUGGGAAUCUGUUGGGUUUUAUAUCAGCUCUGAACAUAACCUUUGAAAAGGGAAUGUAAAAGGAUAAGCACCUGGUAUACAGUGUGUCGCAGGGCACCUCGGUGCCUGCUCCUAGAGAGGAGAAACUGCCAGGGAGAGAGCCCUGGCAGAGCCAAUUGAGCACAGCUGCGGGGUGCCGGAGCAACUAAGGGGAGCCAGCUGCCUGUAGUGGGCAGGGCCUGGCCCUUAUCAAGCCCAGGGCUGGAGCCAGGCUGGUAGUUCCCUGCUGGCAGCUGGAGAGGCAGGAGGUCUGGGUUUGAGGAUGUGGAAAGGAGCCGAGCAGCAAGUACCAUGGUCAUAGGGAGCAAGGUGUUAUGGCCAUAGGGCUUCAGGUUGGAGUUAUAGCCAGAUGGCUGGAGCUUGCAUUUAUGUUACAGCCUAGGGGCUUGUGGUUUUGCUUUGUGUUUGUGUUAUUACACCCGGAGGUUUGGGUGAGGCUGUAGGGGUUGGAGGAGGCCUCAUACAGGGGCCCCACGGGAGUGUGGGGGGCCCCAGCCCCAAGAGGGCGCAUUGUCUGCAUAGCGCCAGGGAAGGCGCAGCUCGCACGCCAGUGCGUGAGCAGCUGGCGGCGAGAAGCGCGGCCAGUGGGUCGCGGGUGCAACCCGUAGGUUGUGGACGGGGACCUAGACCCCGGAUUGCAUGUGGGGGGAAACAUAGACCCCAGCCCCAGGAAAGGGGCAAUAUUAUUGAGUAGCCCAGUGUGGGCACGGUGAACCCCAAAGAGGGGGAGCGCCAUUGUAUGCUGUUGAAUAGCCCAGUGUGGGCAUGGCGAGCCCCAGAGAGGGGGAGCGCCAUACUAAGGAGCCCUAGAGAGGAGGGCAAUUACCGAGGAGCCCGAGACGGGCAUAGCGAGCCCGGCCGCAGGCUAGUGCGGUAACACCCCUCAGACUGAGGCAGGGCGCUGCAAUUGCCCCGAGAAGAUGGGGAGUAGCAGCGCGGGGAGCCAGGGUCAGAGAGGGUGCCCGUGCGGUUGGCCCAUAGGACCGGGGCCCGCUAGGGAGUCCCUGAGCGGGACCGUACCAUCAGGGGAGGCCCAGCGGGAGGCUGGGCACGAGAGAGACAGACCGGACAACGUCCAUUACAUCUGCGAGGCUUGGGGCGUGGUAUUAGGUGCUGGUAGGAGCCACGCAUAGCCCAUAAGGCUGGGGUGCUUGGGCAGCGCCCAUUGUACGGGGAGACCCACGAGGGGUCCAGGAGCUUACAUGCCCGAGGAAACACAGGACAGCCUCCCUAUUACAUAUAUUCUAUCAAGACGUGGCGGGCGAGAAUGGAGGGUGCCCUCGGGCCGAAGUAGCACGGUGAGAGGGCCUCAAGGAGAUCACGGCCUUCCGCGAGGACCCCGCUGUGACACAGUGAAAAGAAAAAGGGGAACAAAGAAACAAAAAUGAGAACUGAUGUUCGGGCCAUUCUUCCCAGAGGCCCUGAUCCUACACAAUUAUCACUUCCUCUCAUUUCCUGUCUCCUAGGAGACCUUUUGAGAAAAAACAAGAUAUUUAUGUCAUCUUUGCAUUUAUUGCAGAAGGGACUGAUUAUCAGCCCCUGUGCGUAAAAACCACCAGAGGAGGGUUCUUCCCCUGGAAAUCCUCUCCCACAUCUUCCUUUUGAGAGUGCAAUACCAUUGACUCCCAUAAAAAAGCUGCAGAGCUGUCUCCAAACCCUGUGAACAGUCUGUACCAUAACAAGUCUAGUCUGUGGCAACACCACUUGUUUAGGGCCAUGCUGACAGGCACUCCACCCUUGGGAAGGAACCUGGCACUAUAUUAAUUAUUCCAGGUAUGUGCAUGGGGCCAGGGAUGGAUUGCAGGGGACGGAGGAACACACUGGUGCACUUUGCACCUCCCUUUGAUUUCCAUUCCAUCCAAAGCAUAAACCAGCAGCCCAGGAAGAGCAGCGGUAUUUCUAUUCAGGCAGUGAUGAGACAGUCAGUUGGCUUCGUGGCUCAUAAUCAGCUCCCUGAUCCCUGCUAAUCUCUCUCCACACCACAGGUGUUAAUGGUCCUCUGUCCUUUUUAAUCUUCUUAAUGCCCCCCACUAUUCAAACUGUUCCUUAUUCUGCAAUUGUGCUGUCUGUUAGCCACUCCUGGUAAUGUCUUGCUUCUAUUGCACAUCUCUGCAGACUAUUUCUAACUCUAGCUAAAAACCUUACCUCAUGUGUUGUCAUACUAACUCAAGUAUAGAAAUGACUGAUAGUAAGGGACUAUCAAGAUCCUCAGGAAGGCUAGGUUUUGUUUUAUGAAUCUGAAUAAGAGAUGCACAUUUAACCGUAAUGACUACAGGACUAAUAUAACAGUAUCUUUUGACUAUGUUUUGCCUAAUUUGGGGGGCUUUUUUCAAGCCAUAUAUAUAUUCUAGCAAGUUAGUGCACAUUCUAAUGUUUAUAUUUAUAAAUAGAAUGCAAUCAGUUCAAUUACAGCCCAUUUCAGAGUGGAUUUCUCUGCUGCUACUCCUAGCUAAAUUCAGUGAGUUAGACUUAAUCUUCUAGAAAGCCUAACCCAGAGGUAUGAAAGCUGGGGUUUUCCAGUGGAGCUAAGCAAGUGAAACCACGGACUCUCACCAGCUGAAAUUCAAUGGAAAGUGGAAACAUGACUCCCUAAGAUUCCUUUGAAAAUCUCAGCCCAAAUGGCUCAUGGUGCCUUGGGAACUGUUCUUUGAUCUUAGUCCUGGUGCCAUGCUUUACCCUCCAGUCCUCCUUCAUAAUAAAGUGCAGAAGGAGCCUUGUUUCCACUGAGGCAGUCAGACACCCAAGAAGCAUCCCCACAAGCGUGCACGUGCAGUUUGCAGUGCUGCAAACCCGUCUGUGGCACCCCAAACUGCAUGCAUUUGCCAUUCUGCAAAUUAGCAGUAUGGCAAGGGUUUUUUGACACCAGGGAUCCUGGUGUCCAAAAAAAUGCAAAGUAGUGUGGCACAUAUGGCUGCAUUGUGUGCUUCCCAAAACCAGAACCUGGCCAGCUAGAACCACACUUCAGCUGUCGGCCAGGCUUCACACUCCCAGAUCACUGCUGCAUCCCUGGGAGGCCCCCAGAGCCUCAGGUAAGGUUGCUGGGGCCAGCUCAGGUGCUUUGGCUACCCCACCUGGGGCAACUAGCUGUAGCACAAAUAUGUUCCAUACUAUUUGUCCCCAGGGAAAUGCACAUACCCUUAGAGGCCUAAUAUUUUUCUGAACAUACAAAACCAACUGGGACUAGAAAAGCAAAUGACUUCAAACAAAUCUCUAAAAGUUCAAUUAUGACACCGCCAGCUUGGAAAUGAAGGCAUGCGGCAGCUCCUUGAACAUUAACUCCGCUUCCAGUUAUAUGUAGUUACACAGUAGCACAGGAUUUUUUAUUUUUACUUUUGCUCACUGUGCUCUUGUGGGUUAUGAAAGUUUGGCCUGGGUGUUUUAUUGUCAUGUUGAUGUUUGCCCAAUAACAUGCAUGCAGUUGAAUAAAAUCUGAACAAGUCA